ACGCUACAAAUUCCUUACCUUUCAGAUCUGAACACUGGUCUCAGUAGCUACAAAAGGAGAAAAAGUAAAAUUGAAAUUGACUUAAAUUAUUGGUAACAAAUGAGCUAAUUCAAACAAAC
rnacentral:snoRNA from 1 species